GGGGAAUAUUGCACAAUGGGGGAAACCCUGAUGCAGCGACGCCGCGUGGAGGAAGAAGGUCUUCGGAUUGUAAACUCCUGUCCCAGGGGACGAUAAUGACGGUACCCUGGGAGGAAGCACCGGCUAACUACGUGCCAGCAGCCGCGGUAAAACGUAGGGUGCAAGCGUUGUCCGGAAUUACUGGGUGUAAAGGGAGCGCAGGCGGAUUGGCAAGUUGGGAGUGAAAUCUAUGGGCUCAACCCAUAAAUUGCUUUCAAAACUGUCAGUCUUGAGUGGUGUAGAGGUAGGCGGAAUUCCCGGUGUAGCGGUGGAAUGCGUAGAUAUCGGGAGGAACACCAGUGGCGAAGGCGGCCUACUGGGCACUAACUGACGCUGAGGCUCGAAAGCAUGGGUAGCAAACA
rnacentral:rRNA from 1 species